rnacentral:rRNA from 2 species
CUGCCAGUAGUCAUAUGCCUUGUCUA